rnacentral:rRNA from 1 species
GACGAACGCUGGCGGCGUGCUUAACACAUGCAAGUCGAACGAAGUGGCGAACGGGUGAGUAAUACGUGGGUAACCUGCCCUCCUUUUUGGGAUAAGCCUUGGAAACGGGGUCUAAUACCGCAUAAAGGGGGAUGGGCGCGCGGCCUAUCCGCUGGUUGGUGGGGUGAUGGCCUACCAAGGAGGUGACGGGGAGCCGGCCUGAGAGGGUGACCGGGCACAUUGGGACUGAGAUACGGCCCAGAGGCCUACGGUAGGCAGCAGUGGGGGAUAUUGCACAAGGGGCGAAAGUCUGAUGCAGCCAUGCCGCGUGUAUGAAGAAGGCCCUAGGGUUGUAAAGUACUGUCAGUCGGGAGGCGUGACCGACAGAAGAAGCACCGGCUAACUCCGUGCCAGCAGCCGCGGUAAUUC